rnacentral:siRNA from 1 species
UAUCAAGACAUUAUCAGAGAUUG